UGUAUCCUGUCUUUUACAGAAUAUUCCAACACUAGGAACGGUUGCUAUAACAAUGGCUCUCCAUAACUGCGAUGAGGUAGCUGUGGCCGGAUUUGGAUACGACAUGAACAGCCCCCAUGCUCCUCUACACUACUACGAGACUGUGAAGAUGUCUGCUAUUAAAGAGUCCUGGACACACAACAUUUCAAAGGAGAAGGAGUUUCUCCGCAAGCUGGUGAAGGCGAAGGUCAUCACAGACAUGACGAAUGGGAUCUGAAGCCCCCGCUGGAAGCCCUGUUCCCGUCGGACUCCGGCGUUUAGGGGGCGUGCUGGGAGACGGAGAGAGACCGGACGGCAGAGUGCGGCUGUGAUCGAGGUCCUGUGAGCUCUGAAGCAGUGCACAGCCCUCUCUUCUCUUCCUCACCGCCCCGGGGGAUAGAAGGUCACCCUGUUUGAACUGGCAUGUGCCUUUAAGACAGAAAAGGCCGUUUUGGAGGAUGUGAUUUACACUACAGAAUUCCUCCCGUAAAACAUUCUUUCUUUUUGAACUAUUAGAGCGGAAUUGGGGGAUAUCCAGCGACAAGAAUAACAGAAAAGCUGAGUCUAAAAAAACGUAUAAAACUAAUAUAAAUAAGAAGACUGGAAGAUACUGGUUUUUGUGCCAAAUGUACCUCUGGAGGAGGUGCCCUCCACUUUUUGCUUGAAUGUAUUCACAGAGUCAACAUCAAAGAUUUACCGUGCGUUUUUAAUGGUCCGCACCACCCAUUCACAACUGCUUGUACAGGAAUCUCUCCGUCCGGAUGUCAGUGGGCAUAUCCUGGUCAUGCCUGUCGACAAGGGCAAGGUGCAGCUUUUAAUUUUGGAACUGCUCCCCAUCACCUCUUCCUCUUUUGAGUUUUUAUGGUUGUGACUUUGAGGCGUCUGCCGUUUCUUUUCUCUCCGCGGAAAACAAGGGCAGGUCUUUUAUUUAUUCUGGGUUUUUUUUUUGCCAACGGCCAGGGGAGCACAGUUUGAGUUUGAGUCUUGAGCCGGCGCGCCGGUCUCGGUGACAAGACGCGGCCAGUGUACCGUACGUCAGCGCCCGUCUGUUGUGCUUCCUGAGAACACACCCGACUCAGGUUCCAGAAUGGUUCCAUUCUGAAGGCUGAUAUUCAGUCUGGUAGCUUUUACUGCUUCUCAGUGUUACUGUCGUUCAGCUGCGGUUUCGUUUGAUUUUGUCCUGCACUGCGUCUCUUUCAGUGUUGAACACGGGGGACGGGGGAAAAAUAUUUAUUUUGAAAAAGACUGACCGAGUGGACCUUCAGCAGUCAGAGCACCAAUGUUAGUGGCAAUGUGUUCUUUAAAAGACAGAAAGACGCGUGUUGUGGGAAAGCCGAGCUGCAUGGGUGCUCGCUUCUGUUUCUGCCCAGCAAGGUUUCUGGAGAAGCAACCCGUCUGCAGCAACUUAGAGCUGUACGGCCUGGGCCAAUGUUUUUUGGAAACAGACCUGUGUCCCCUCCGGAGGCCACCCUGGGCUUCUCUCAGAUGGUACAGAAGACCGUGCCAGCGUGACAGCAGAUCCCAGUAAAAGUGUUUUCUUACCAAUGCAGUAUAAUGUAUAAAAUGUAUUAUUAGUUGACCAAUCGAGAAGUAAAGGUUUGGAUAUGGUUUGAUUACCAAUGAGGUGCCACUGUUGAUAAAAACAGAUCAAGAGUAUAUAUUCCUCCUUUCUUUUGCCUAUGCAGUUAAUGCAUAAAUUACCUGAAGUUUCUAGUAGAAUUAUGUUUUUUUUCCAAUCCCAAUUAUAUAAACACUGACUCCACUGACAAGUGUAACUGGAUUAUAGUAUUCUCUGUAUGAAGGAAUUUGGAAAAAAAGAGACUGACUAUUCCAGAAACCUCAUGUUUUUAAUUUUCAAUUGUAUUCGCAACUAUGUUCAGUGUUCACGUUACAUACAGUUAACAUUUUCCAGACACAAGUGAAAAUUAUGAUUAUGUUAAUCAAGUUUUUCCUUUUUUAACUGUUAAAAGAGCACAAGACAACCCUUCAGAUCUUGAGGCUUUUUUUGCUAGAGAUGAUCGUAGCAGAUGGUGCUAGAUGUUGACAGCGUUAAACUGAGAUCUGGAAAGAUUUACUGUGUAUUAGUAGAGAGUUAUACUGAAUGACUGUAUAUUAGUAGAGUUAUUUUUAAUUCAUUUGCUGGUGUUUCUCUUAUUUUUGCUGCGUUAGAUGUCAAACCUUCUGGGUUGAUGUUGGGCAAGCAAAUUCCCAGAGAGCACUUUCACAACAGGAUAAGCCUGUAAACUUCAGAAAGUUUAGGAAGCGAACAUUAUUUACAGGUACUAUAUAGUUCCAGUUUGCUGCUGAUUGGUGGUACACUAUACAGUAUAUAUAUUUUAUUCUGUUGUGUAUUAUUUUCACAUAUUUGUUGGUUGCUGUAAAGAUCGUUCAGCCUGAAGUCAAAGACAAAUAAACCAUGUGGCAUCUUUUCCCUUGUUGUUUAUGUUUUGAAGUGUACCUCACUCUCUCUAACUCCAGCUGCUGCACAAUCCACUCUGACCUCCCUCCAUGAACUAGCCACCUCUUGCCUGUGUUGUGUAAAGUACUGUACAGUGAAGAGCCUUGUCAGCCAGCACUGAGACAUCCCAAAACAUUCUGCUUUCAAUGUCUGGACCCUAGGAGGCCCAGUGGCCUUAAGAAAUGUGCAAACCUUUGUCAUGUUUGGCUAGUACAUUAUUGUAUUGUAAUCCUCAGUUUAACAGACUUUACUUUACAGGACUUCAGAUUUAACUGUCAAAUUUUACUGAAGAAUAAUAUUGUCUGUAAAAUCCUAAAUAUCUAGCUUUACCUGCAAUAACGGGGAAAUGCACAAACAAUGAAUGAAACAAGGUAAAAAUAGUACAUAAUGUAGGUUUAAAAUUAUCGGGGUGCCUGGGUGGGGCAGGUCAAUGCUUGUGAUGGGUGUUUUGUGUUCUGUAUGUUUUAGCAGAUUUCAUGCAGUAUAUUUAGGACACACGAUAUAAAGAGCAUUUGAGCUUCUGCAUUUGUGAUAAAAAAGGCACAGGAACAGUUUUCUUUCAGUGUGCUGAAUGCAAUUGUUCAAUAAAUAAGUAGAAAGAUUCAGGAAGUAUUUUUUCAUAUAGUAGUGUUUUGGAGCUCACGUAAUGUAAUUUGUUUGAAUGAAUGAUUUAAUGGACAUUCAGCACUUACUGACACCCCUUCACCACUAAUAGUCUGUUAAACAGAGUAUUUACUGAAUGGAGUUCAUUUUCCAAAUAUUCUUUUGGUAUUGUUUUGCGUUGCAUACAGGAUCCCUGUUGUAGUAUAAGGUUACUAUGCCAAAGGAUCUCUUGAGAGUUUUGCAAAAAAGAUCUGGGCACCUCCUCACACUGUUCACUCCAUAUAAGCUAUGGCAUAUCAAGGGGGAAAUGUUUCACACAUUCUGAGGUUGCAGUUGUCCCGUUUUUGUUUGGUGUGUUCCAAAAAUGAAAACAAAAUGUUUACGACCAUUUGUCCAGCAUAAACAAACGCCCAGUGAAUCUAAGCUGAGUCACUGUUGUGCAGUAAAUGUUUGCUGAGAUGUUUGUGCAUCAGUGAAACAUUGUAAAGGUCAGAGAGAGGGAGAGGGGAGGAAUACUCUGGCCUUUCUCUUCUGCCAGCCAAUUUUGUCUUAUCAAUAAAAAGAAUCUUGCCUGUGAGGUCUUCCAUUUUCA